UUUGAUCCUGGCUCAGAUUGAACGCUGGCGGCAGGCCUAACACAUGCAAGUCGAGCGGCAGCACGGGAAGCUUGCUUCCUGGUGGCGAGCGGCGGACGGGUGAGUAAUGCAUAGGAAUCUGCCCGGUAGUGGGGGAUAACCUGGGGAAACCCAGGCUAAUACCGCAUACGCCCUACGGGGGAAAGCAGGGGCUCUUCGGACCUUGCGCUAUCGGAUGAGCCUAUGUCGGAUUAGCUGGUUGGUGAGGUAAUGGCUCACCAAGGCGACGAUCUGUAGCUGGUCUGAGAGGAUGAUCAGCCACAUCGGGACUGAGACACGGCCCGAACUCCUACGGGAGGCAGCAGUGGGGAAUAUUGGACAAUGGGCGCAAGCCUGAUCCAGCCAUGCCGCGUGUGUGAAGAAGGCCCUCGGGUUGUAAAGCACUUUCAGUGGGGAAGAACGCCUUCCGGCUAAUACCCGGGAGGAAAGACAUCACCCACAGAAGAAGCACCGGCUAACUCCGUGCCAGCAGCCGCGGUAAUACGGAGGGUGCGAGCGUUAAUCGGAAUUACUGGGCGUAAAGCGCGCGUAGGUGGCUUGAUAAGCCGGUUGUGAAAGCCCCGGGCUCAACCUGGGAACGGCAUCCGGAACUGUCAGGCUAGAGUGCAGGAGAGGAAGGUAGAAUUCCCGGUGUAGCGGUGAAAUGCGUAGAGAUCGGGAGGAAUACCAGUGGCGAAGGCGGCCCUCUGGACUGACACUGACACUGAGGUGCGAAAGCGUGGGUAGCAAACAGGAUUAGAUACCCUGGUAGUCCACGCCGUAAACGAUGUCGACUAGCCGUUGGGUCCUUCGCGGACUUUGUGGCGCAGUUAACGCGAUAAGUCGACCGCCUGGGGGAGUACG
rnacentral:rRNA from 1 species